rnacentral:rRNA from 1 species
AGUCGAGCGGAUGAAGAGAGCUUGCUCUCUGAUUCAGCGGCGGACGGGUGAGUAAUGCCUAGGAAUCUGCCUGGUAGUGGGGGACAACGUCUCGAAAGGGACGCUAAUACCGCAUACGUCCUACGGGAGAAAGCAGGGGACCUUCGGGCCUUGCGCUAUCAGAUGAGCCUAGGUCGGAUUAGCUAGUUGGUGAGGUAAUGGCUCACCAAGGCGACGAUCCGUAACUGGUCUGAGAGGAUGAUCAGUCACACUGGAACUGAGACACGGUCCAGACUCCUACGGGAGGCAGCAGUGGGGAAUAUUGGACAAUGGGCGAAAGCCUGAUCCAGCCAUGCCGCGUGUGUGAAGAAGGUCUUCGGAUUGUAAAGCACUUUAAGUUGGGAGGAAGGGCAGUAAGCGAAUACCUUGCUGUUUUGACGUUACCGACAGAAUAAGCACCGGCUAACUCUGUGCCAGCAGCCGCGGUAAUACAGAGGGUGCAAGCGUUAAUCGGAAUUACUGGGCGUAAAGCGCGCGUAGGUGGUUUGUUAAGUUGAAUGUGAAAUCCCCGGGCUCAACCUGGGAACUGCAUCCAAAACUGGCAAGCUAGAGUAGGGCAGAGGGUGGUGG